rnacentral:rRNA from 1 species
ACGGGUGAGUAACGCGUGGGAACGUGCCUUCUGGUUCGGAAUAACUCAGGGAAACUUGAGCUAAUACCGGAUACGCCCUUUUUGGGGAAAGGUUUACUGCCGGAAGAUCGGCCCGCGUCUGAUUAGCUAGUUGGUGGGGUAACGGCCUACCAAGGCGACGAUCAGUAGCUGGUCUGAGAGGAUGAUCAGCCACACUGGGACUGAGACACGGCCCAGACUCCUACGGGAGGCAGCAGUGGGGAAUAUUGGACAAUGGGCGCAAGCCUGAUCCAGCCAUGCCGCGUGAGUGAUGAAGGCCUUAGGGUUGUAAAGCUCUUUUAUCCGGGACGAUAAUGACGGUACCGGAGGAAUAAGCCCCGGCUAACUUCGUGCCAGCAGCCGCGGUAAUACGAAGGGGGCUAGCGUUGCUCGGAAUCACUGGGCGUAAAGGGCGCGUAGGCGGUCUUUUAAGUCGGGGGUGAAAGCCUGUGGCUCAACCACAGAAUUGCCUUCGAUACUGGGAGACUUGAGUUCGGAAGAGGUUGGUGGAACUGCGAGUGUAGAGGUGAAAUUCGUAGA